UACGUAGGGUGCAAGCGUUAUCCGGAAUUAUUGGGCGUAAAGAGCUCGUAGGCGGUUUGUCGCGUCUGCUGUGAAAACCCGAGGCUCAACCUCGGGCCUGCAGUGGGUACGGGCAGACUAGAGUGCGGUAGGGGAGAUUGGAAUUCCUGGUGUAGCGGUGGAAUGCGCAGAUAUCAGGAGGAACACCGAUGGCGAAGGCAGAUCUCUGGGCCGUAACUGACGCUGAGGAGCGAAAAGCGUGGGGGAGCGAACAGG
rnacentral:rRNA from 1 species